GACGGAGGGGGCUAGCGUUGUUCGGAAUUACUGGGCGUAAAGAGCACGUAGGCGGCGGUGCAAGUUGGGGGUGAAAUCCUGGAGCUCAACUCCAGAACUGCCUCCAAAACUGGCGAUCUUGAGUUCGGGAGAGGUGAGUGGAACUGCGAGUGUAGAGGUGAAAUUCGUAGAUAUUCGCAAGAACACCAGUGGCGAAGGCGGCUCACUGGCCCGAUACUGACGCUGAGGUGCGAAAGCGUGGGGAGCAAACAGG
rnacentral:rRNA from 1 species